CAACCGCGCCUUCGCCUUCCUUUUAUGCGAAGCACAUGCUGGUGACAUCGUACAACCGUUCAACACCACCGUCGACCUCCCCCACCUUAGCCCUAGCAUGUCGCCACGGCCCAAGCUCGCCGCCGCCAAUCUCGUUGAUCCCACCGGUUGUGGGCACAUGAGCAACUGCCAACUCUCCUUUAUCAUGCAAGCUCACGACAUCACAUGCUCUAGCAAAUUCGACGCAUCGACCAUCGCCACCAUCCUUGACGUUGGUCGACCUCCACACCCCCCGAGGAGAUGGGCUAAAAGGGAAGAAAUCACUUGGGAGAAAAGAAAGGAAGGAGAUUGGAGAACAAAGAAGUCACCAGGAGGCGCCAGGAAGCAACCAAAGCCAAAGAUGAUGUUCCAUGCGAGCGCACGUGGCAUGGGAACCGAGGUAGGUGGUCCACGUGAACAACAUCUGUAAAGGGGACCCGUCGAAAUGUUAACAGAAGAGUGUCGAGCACAGCAAGAACCUCAUCAUCAUCAUCUCCAUCCUCAAAACCUAGCUGCACCCAUCUUCAUCUCCAUAGCCAUCUCCAGCACCAUAGUGCUCUCUCAUCUAAUUCAUACUUGUAAUCAUGCAUCACACAAGGCAUGUGCUGUAAGACAUAUUGCAAUCAAUCAAUCCCAAGAUGUGUUCUUUAAUGAUUUCUUCUCGCGAUAUGAUUUGCAUGUGUGUGUAGUCCGGUAAGGUAUGGGGUGAGGCAUGAUGUAUUUGGUGAAUGGACUAAUGGGAGUCUUUGAUAUAACGUCUCGUAUGUGUAAAAUAAAAGUGUUUUGUGAAGUGUCUCUUGUCUUAUCCGCGAUCUUCAUCCCUGCAGGUACCCAAGAUCAUGGAGGUUGAGCACCAAUGAGGCUAGGAGUAAGGGGACCGUGAAGUGUUACAUCAAUCACCGGUGACAGGCAACCGCGUGAGACAGAUAGGGACUUCGGUAGGACAAGUGAUUCUUGAUGCAGGACUCGAGCCGAUCAAGAUAUAAUUUGGAUACAUCAUCCACGCCGAUAUGUAGCAAGCACCUCUUGAUGGGUGACUUCCUGAGCACAAAGUAAUAUCAUUUUUAUUCCAAAACCAAUACAUGCUUGUAAGCAUUAAGACCUCAUCCCCAUACCUUAUUUUUAUUUGUAAGUGUUGAGUCACAAUUUGCUUGUUGAUCUGGUCAAAAGCUGGAUUGAGACUUUUGCAAAAAGCUUGCUAGAGACUAUUGGUUCAAGGGAGUCUUCCUCUUAUGGUUCGAUACCUAGGGUCACCUAUGGGAAAAUAGGUGCGGGAUACCCUUUCUUGUUCUAAUUUUGGAUCAAUAAAAAGGAGAUAUCAAGCCCUUUUUUUGGCGACAUUCCCGGAGAGGAGUUUAGUAUUCCUAGUCUUUGUGUUUAGAGUUUUUUGUUCAAGUUAAUUUUCAGUUUUAUUUUAGUUUCUAGUUUUUAGUUUAAGAUUUAUUUUGUUGCAACUCUUUUUAGUUGAGAAACCAAAAAGUUACCAUGGCUCAUAAUCUUGGGAGUUUUAAUACUCCUAGCAAAUAUUUCAUGCGUGAAUCAAUAACACAACGUGAUGUUUGAUAACCCACACGUAUAGGGGAUCACAACGGUUUUCACACAUAGUGUUACACCCUAAUUUAUUGACUUGACACAAGGGUAGCCAAAAAAUAUUUAUUUUUGUCGGGGUACACAAAUAGGGGUGUUUAUUUCCCCCUAACUUGUGCAAGGAUGAUAAGCCACCGACCCGAUGACCUAAGGUUGUCGGGGAAUGCUACCACUCCAUCAAGGCCCGUCCAGGAUAGAAAAGCUGCUCUACGAGAGGUUGAUACGUCUCUGUCGUAUCUAAUUUUCCAAACUCUUUAGCCCUUGUUUUGGACUCUAAUUUGCAUGAUUUG